rnacentral:rRNA from 1 species
UACGGAGGAGGCAAGCGUUAUCCGGAAUUAUUGGGCGUAAAGCGUCCGUAGGUGGCUAGUCAAGUCUGCGGUCAAAGACUGGGGCUUAACCCUGGAAAGGCCGUGGAAACUGACGAGCUAGAGUGCAGUAGGGGUAGAGGGAAUUCCCGGUGUAGCGGUGAAAUGCGUAGAGAUCAGGAAGAACACCAGUGGCGAAGGCGAUCUGCUAGGCCGUAACUGACACUGAGGGACGAAAGCUAGGGGAGCGAAUGGG